GCCUCCAGUAUCCCUUCUUCCUUCAUCCACAAAGACUCUGAAGGACCCCUUGCUGACACAAAGGCAGAGGCUGCAGGACACCAACCCGUCUCUCCUCGCUCAUCUUCUGUCAGAGCACACAGACCUCUGUCUCCGCAGUACAUGACUUUCUUCUGCUGGAAAUGCACUGGGAUUCCAGGAGGGCAUAAUCAAACAAAUGUUCAUCCGUUGCAAGAGCUGCUAAAGGACUUCCAAUGCACAGCACUGCAGGACCGCCGUGGCACGGCACGGCACGCCGCACUGCAGGACCUCCCUCCCUCGGACGGCGUCGCGGGACCUGUCGCUCCAACGGCACUGCACACCGUGGAACACGCAGUUGCAGGACCUGUUGCACACCCCAGCAGGGGCCCCCGGCGCGCAGCAGCGCGCAGCACCGC